ACCGCAACUCUAUUUAAGUUGAGCUGUUAUGCCGAAAAAUAACUUGGGCAGUGAUUAGAAAGAGAGAGGCUUGAGUGGGAACCCUAAUUCCAUUAUUGAAGAAGGUGCCGCCAUCUCCUUGCUUCAAAGGUUUCGGCUUUGGUAUCUCAUCUUCACAAAUUGAAUUUGGUUUUCCUCAGUGACGGCUUUCAAAAUUUACACUUGAUAUGAGCCCUUUUCUUUCUUCCUUUCUUUUUUUACUCUCUCCUUCCCCCAUUAUUAUUUUUUUCUGUAAAUCUAUUUUAUUUUUUUACUUUAAUCAACAUUUGCAUUCAAUAUUUUUCAUUUAACCAGAUUCUGUUCUUCUGUUCUUCUUUUAGGUCUGAAUAUUAAAGGUAUUGAAGUUUUGUUUUGUUUUUCUUUUAAGAUUUUUUUAUUGUCUUUGAAGUUCCUUUAUUUCGUCUUUAAAGCUCAUUUUCUGUGUGUUUGAAAAUUUUAAUUGCAUUCAAGUUUUGCCUUUUUCUUCAGUAAAAUUUGUGUUUCAGAAGAUUUUUCUCCUUCAUUCACACUAAAUAUAGACUCUUCUUUUAUCUAAACAGCUUUUUCGUUCAUUUUUUUGUUCUUUUAAUUAACAUUUCUUCAAUUCUUAAACAUCUUUUUGUCUAUUUUUGUAGAUUUUGUUUGAUGCGAACCAUUAUUUCCUAUAUGUUUAAUAUCUUAUUUAUUUUAGUAAAUUAGGUUUAAUUUUGUCUUUUUGUCAUCUAAGUUCUUAUGGAAGAUAAAUCAGUCUAUAUAAGGUGUCGAGUUAGCACUGAGUGUCAGCAGCAUAACUCAAAUCAUUGUAAAAUAUUUAAUUUAAUUUCAAAUUUUGUUAUUUUGUUUUUAAUUUUAGAUACAAAUUAUAUCACUAUUUUUAAAAUUAAAAGAAAAUUCAUCAUUAUUUUUAAAAUUAAAAAAAAAUCAUAAUUAUUUUUAAAAUUAGAAGACAAAUCAUCAUUAUUUUUAAAAUUAGAAUUAAAAUCAUUAUUAUUUUUAAAAUUAUAAGAAAAAUUCAAAAAUUAGAAGGAAAGUUUUAAUUUAUUUUUAAAAUUAAAAGUAAAAUUCUAAUUUAUUUUUAAAAUUAAAAAGAAAAUUCUUUAUUAAUUUUAAAAUUAGAAGAAUUUUUUUCAUUAUUUUUAAAUCAACUUUAACUCUAUUUUUUACUAAUAAAAAUUUAAACAUAAAUAUAAUAAUUAUAUUCCAAUAAUAUAAUUAGAAUUAAUUUAAAAAUAAUUAAAUAAAUAUUUAAUAAAAUUUAAAUUUGGUUUCAAUUUAAAAAGAUAUACAAUUGAGACUAAAUUGAUUAAAAUUAACAAAAAUUGAGAUUAAAUUAAAUAAAAUUAAUGAAAAUUAAAAUUGAAUGACAUAUUUAUACGUGGUAUUGACAUGUGACAUUAACACAUGGUAUAAAGAAGCCUUACAUCCGAACCCCCAACACGUGAGAGCUCUAGUACCAUCGUUUCUCGGUGUAAGGAAGUCGCAUUCCCCCAUAGAAGCCUUUUCCUAAUCUAAAAUCCUACUUUUGGGUGGGGAAGGGGUUGCCAUGUGGCAGUCCCUAAUUGACUGAUUUUAUCUGAUAAAAUAACCAAAUUCUGGUCAACUAAGGAACUAAAUUACAAUUAGAAAAAAAAAGAAAUUAAGGGAACUUUUAGGAGCUUUUAUGUAAUUUUGAAAACUUAAGAAGGACAUUAAUGAAAUAGAUAAUUCAGUUGAUAUUUUUAAGAUAAUUAAUUUAAUAUGAAAAUAUACCAACAGAAAAUGUCUUAUCAACAUAAUACUUAGAGUCCAAGUCCAAUAAAGUUUAUAUAAAGAGACUUAGGGGAGGAAGAAAUCAUAACUCAUUCAUUCACUCAGACUCUUCCAAUGGAAGCCAUCAUUCACCACUCCUCUCACUUUUAUUUUAUCAUGUAUUAUACUCCAUUCAUGGAGGGCUAAGCUUUUAAGGCUACUCCAUUGUAAUUUCAUUAUGGAUUCCGAGGUUAAGUUGAAUUAAUGAAUUUGUUUCUUAUGAUUAUUGAUUUUAGUUAUUCUUCUUCUAUGUCUUUCAUCUCUCAAUAAUGUUAAAAGUAAUUAUUUUUGCAUCAUAAGGUGUUUGAAUCUACAUGCAUGUUAAUCAUAUGAGUUCAAGGUUUUCUAUGUUUUAAUGAUAAUUUACUUUGAUUGAGUUUAGGAACCUUCAUAUGAUUAAACGUGUUCUUACUACUAAUUAAUAAUGUACUUUGAUUGGUGGUAAGAUUUUCAACUGUAAUUAAUUGAGAAUUUACUUUGAUUAAAUAUAUUUUAAUUUGGUCAAGGGAUAUAAGAAUAGACAUGAUUAAAUACAAUAGGAUUUGACUGAGAAUGUAUUUUGAUUGAAUUCAUUGUGAAUAAUAUAGGAAGGUCUUACAUUUGAUUGAGAAUCUACUUUGGUUAAUUGUAUGAUCGCCCUCAAGUGAGAAUAUACUUUAAUUAAUUUGAAACUCAAACAAUAAUCAAUUGAACAAUGAUUUGUGGAUAAUCGAUGAUGAAUCUAUCUUGGAAAAAUAGUGGAAUUAGUCUAUUUUAUUAUAGUUGCUUCAAAGUUUCUCAUUUGUUCUUCACUUAAACUCACAACAUUCUUGAACAUCAAGUUCAUUAGGCUAUAUUUUCAUUCUUAUUUUUAAGCAUUGCAUAGCAUUCACUAACUUUUUCAAAGCCUUCGUAAGAGUCAAAUAUUGAAAAGCAAUUACGUGUUCGUUGGGAAACGACUUAGGGUUACUUUAACCCUAUCCACUUUCUUGAUUACUAACAUGGCAAUACUGAAGUUACCGUGUAAAGUAGUUGUUAGAAGUGGACUUUAAGCCUAACCCAACCUCACAAACCAAUUUGUAAGGUGAGGUUUGCACCCACUUAUAUGCUAUGAAUUGGCCUUAUCUCUAGUCGAUGUGAGACUUCUAACACACCCCCUUCACAUCGAGGUAUAUACAUCUCAAGCGUGGGACUAGACAUUAAUGGGUGGUCCAAUAACGGCCCGAUAGCGGGUGGAACAAUAUGCCUAACAAACAACAAAUAUCGCUAGGAUAGGCUUUAACGACGACUCUGAUACCAUGUUAGAAGUGGACUUUAAGCCUUACUCAACCACACAAAACCAGCUUGUAAGGUGGGGUUUACACCCACUUAUAUAUUAUGAACUGACCUUAUCUCUAUUCGAUGUGGGACUUCCAACAAUAGUAUUAAUUUGGUAGCUUCAACAACAGCGUAUACUCUCUUGCUCAGUUAACGACGGGCUGACACCUAAAACAUCCUCUGCUCACACUAAACGAUGAUGAUUGCCAAAGAGAUUAUAGCACAAAGAGGCAUACAACACAAAAGUAAGGGUAAACUAGUAUACAAAUAAAUCAACAUAUUACAAUUUGAUAUGGGAAAUCAUAUCUCAACAUUCACAACAACUCAUCACACACUUAAUCAUAUCACAACUUAACUAAGGAUGACAACGGGUCGGGUCAGGCACGGAUAAUGCCUACCUGCAACCCGACCCGCUACUCGCACAGAUACCCGUAAAAAAUAUCCGCGGGUAUUUUAAAAUUCACGGAUACCCGCGGAUAUUCGUGAAUACCCGCAAAUAUUAAAAAAAAAUAUUUGUUUAUAAGUUAUUAAAAUAAAAUUUAAAUAGAAUUAUAAAAAAUAUAUAAAAUAUAAUAUAAAUAAUAUUAAAUAUAAAUUAAAUUCAAUUUUAAUUAAAUUUAACCUUGUAAAAUAUAAAUUAAUGUUAAUUUUAAUUAAAUUUAACUUAAUAAAAUAUAAAUUAAAUCUUUAUUUUUAUUUUUUGCGGGUAGCGGAUAUCUCGGGUACGAAUAGCAUAAUACACACCCGACCCGUUUAUAAGCAAGUAUUAAAAUAUCCGCUACCCACAGGUUGCGGGUAGUAAAUAUCCAUGGGUAUCAACUAUCCGUCGCAGAUUUUAUCUGCGGAUAUCAACGAGUGCAGAUUUUUUUGCACCCAUGCUAGUAUUUAUACUCUGUAGAGUCAUAAAUGAGGGUCAAAUGACCUACUUCCCCAUGAGUUUAGUCUUCCCUUACACGACAAAGGGCUAGGGUAAAAACCUCCUAUCAUUUUCUCCAUCACCCCAUUCACUCUACAUGAGUUGAAUGAUUAGUAGAAUAUCAGGAUAUUUUCUCUUCAAAGUCUCACUAUUAAGCAGUCACCACAACUCUCAUAUAAUCAUUCCUUAAGAUUCCUCUCACAUCACCCAUCUAUCAUUCUCACAACAUACUCAUCAUCAUCAUAUUCAUCAACCAUAAACAUACCCAUAAACAGGUUCACAAAUCAUAAAUAUAUGUAUACACAUCUCCAUUAAUCACCUCAUAAUCAUCAUCAUUAUCAUCACAUACUCAAGGUGUUCCAAGUAUAAAAUCAUUUAUAAAAAUUUGGAAAUAAUAAUUACACAAUAGUACAUUUUUCUUCAUGGUAGCUUGAGUCCCACACUAGACAUGAAAAAUAGCCUUAAAACCCUCACCAAAAGCUCUGGAAGGGUCUAAAACCCCCAAAACGACCUAAAGAACGUCCAAAACGAAUGUCUGAAACCCUAAAUUCGAGAUUCCCCACAACAUAGUUUCUGUUAGACAACUCCGCACCAGACUACUUACUAGUCAAUCUUUUACCAGAUGACCCCUUAUUAGACGAUCUCUUACCAGACUACUCCUUGCUAAACGAUCUCUUACCAGACGACUCCUUAUUAGACGACUCUUACCAAUACGAUCUCUUACUAGACGACCCCUUACUAGAUGCUCUCUUACCCAGACAAUCUACCAUAUUUUUGUACAAUAAAAGACCAAAUAGGCGCUAAAUGAGCCCAAGACAAUUCCAAAAACUGUAAACUUCCCCUUAAACCAUGAUCUCAUAUUCUUACUUGUUAAAAACUCAAUUUUUUUGUCCAAAACUCACCCUUUUACUACUUUAUUUCUUACCCAAGUUCUGUAAAAACAUAUCAGCUCAAACUCACUAAAUCCACAUUCACAAAUCCAUCAAUAAACAAAUUUUAACAACAAUAAACCAAACACCCCAACAUACAUUAGUUCUCAAUUUAAUUAAACCCUAAACCCUAAACCCAACAUACCAAAUUUCACGAUUUAAUUAAAGUUCAUAAAUCAAUCAUCACAUCAUCAUACAAACAUCAAAUAUCACAUGCAUAACAAAUCCAAAACCAAACAAACUAGCUUCCCUUAUAUAGUUGAUGCUUUGAUAGUUUCAAGAACUCUAAAAUUUCUCCUACGACUUCAAUAUCUAUAUUUGCCCCUACAAUUCAUGGCAAUUUGAUCAAAGUAUACCCUUAAUAACACUAAUCAACAAAGAGUCUUGAAGAAGACUUAGACAUAAAAAAAGUAAAGAAAACCCCUACACGCAAAGACAUCAAACUUUAAAGAAAAAGGUAGAAAUCGACUUACUUUAUAGUUGAAAUCAAUUGGCUAGACAUGAAGAUCUCGUCUAAAUGAACCCUCAAGCGGUCCUUAAUCUUUCCAUAAAUGGAUAGAGAAUUAGGAUUUCUAGAAAGAAAACAAAAAAAAUUUAAAGAAAGAAGUUUUUAAAGAAAUAAAGUUUCUUAAAUAACGAAACUCUAAGAUAAAAAAUUUAUUUAUACUUUCAAUAUUUUUGAAAUAAAAUAAUAGAAUAUCAUUAUUUAAAACAACGUACCACGUUUAAUACAAAAUUUUUGAGGAUCUUACAAUUAUAUAGAAUAUUUUUAUAAAUAUAAAAAUAAUUAAAUACAUUAUUGUCAAAAAAAUAAUCAAAAUAUUAUCAUUUAAAUUUUUAAAAUGAUAUAAUUAUAUUAUUACAACAUCAAAUUAAUAUAAUAAAUAAAUAUAUUUUUAAACAUCCAUUGCACGAGUACAGUUCGUAGUUAUUUAUGGUUUGGUAGUUCUUUUAUAAAUAAUAAAAUAAAUAAUACGAGCUAUGUUAUAAUAGAAAAACAGGUAAUACUGUAUAUACUAAAAUAAUGAAAAAAAAUUUAAAAAUUAAACAUUAUAAUAGUUAUUACAAAAUAUUAGUAAGAUUUUUAUAUAUAAAAAGCAUUUCCUAUAUAGAAUGUGUCACAAACGAUAUCAUCAACAGUUAUAUUUACAAUAAUAAAAUAUAAAAAUACAAAAUUUAAAACAAUAUUAUAAUAAUUACUAAAAUAAAAAAGAUUAGCCAAAUUUAUAGUAAAAUAAUAAAUUCAAUAAAGAAAAGCAUAAUUAAUUACAAAAUAUAUAUACUAAAGAAGAUAUACAUAGAAGAAAUUAUUUUUUUAUGUCUACAUUAAUUUUUUGAUUUUUUUUAAAUGAAAUUAAUAAUUUUAUAAAUAUUAUCAUUUAGGUGUUUGUUUAUUUAAAUUUAAUUAUUAUAUUUAUUUAAUUAUUUUUCUAAACUUAAUUAUUUUUUUAAUUAAAAAAUUGUCUACAAAGUAAAUAAAAACUACUCAGAUUAAAAUUACAAAAAUUAUUUGUAAUUAAUUUUAUAAUAAUAAUAAAAAUUUUAUUACUUUUAAUUAUCAUAAAAAAAUAAAUAUAUAUUUCAUUAUAAAUGUUAAAAUGUUAAUCAGAUUAAAAAUGAUUUACUCACAUUGUUUAAAUAAGUCCGACAAAUAAGAAGUGUAUUCCCUUCCCACUUCCGGGUCACCAAGUAACACCGUUAGGGUAGAAAGUUGAAGUCCUUGCAGUUCAGGCCUCAGACCCAAAACCCUCAUAAAAACCCAACUCUCCUUCCUUUUAGUUCCUCUGUUGGUUUCUCACUCUUCCGUGUGGUAGUAGUGUGGCAAACAAUGAGCAGUUGGAAAAACCUUCUUCUACGAAUCGGUGACAAGAGUCCCGAAUACGGAGUCUCCUCUGACUAUAAAGAUCACAUUGUAGUUUUCUCUUCUUUGUUUUUCUCUUCGCCGCGAAACUGGUUGAUGUCUAAUCUUUCUUUUUGCUUUUGAUUUCUUAGGAUACGUGCUUUGGCGCCCUUCGUCGCGAACUUGACCACUCCCAUACCGAUGUUUUGGAGGUAAACUCUGAUUCUUCUCGUUCGCAUUUUGGUCGUGUUUUGUAUAGUUAGGUCAAUUGAUUUAUCGGUUGAGUAAUUGAAUUGUUUCGAUUCGCUUCUUGAGAGUUUUGAGGCUUGUACUUGUUUUGAGGCUUGUACUUGUAGCUUCGAUAGUGGACUAAUUCGUGAUAUGCUAUAUUAUGUUGUACGAAGUAGUUGUGAAUCAAUUUUCGUUCUUAAUUGUAGGGCCAUCAAUGUGGAACACACAUGUUUGAGGAGGAUGUUGAUAUUGCUUGUUUUAAUGCUAGUUAUACUUUAUUUUGACCUUUUUAGCUUGUUGCUUGCCAGUGGUUUUCUUCAGAAAAGAGCGCAAUAUGCUUCAGAAAUCUUAAACAUUUAAAGUAGAUUGGAAUCUAUAACCUUGUAAUUAUAUUAGAAGCGUGUUAUCUGGACCUGUUAGUUGCUUCGUUGCAUUUUCUUUACAUGUUUUAAAAUGUUAUACCUUUUAUGUUGCUUUCUUAUUUAAAUAUUCUAGCAUGUGUGAUUUUGUGAGUUGUGCAGUAUUUGUACAUGUCUCUUUCUGUAUCGUAAUGCCUUGCAUGAUAUCACAUCAGAUUUACUUUAUUGGAUUUGUUUGUGCAGUUCCUUCUCACGUGUGCUGAGCAUUUGCCUCACAAGAUUCCUCUGUAUGGAACCCUGGUAGAGAUUUCUUUUCUCUUGAACUGUAAUGACAUCUGUUAUUUUAUUCCCUGCAUGUUGCAAUAUCUUACUGCGGAUGUGCAUGCACGAAUGUCAUGUAUAUAUAAAGUCUUCUUCUUCUCAUCAGCAUUAUUAUUGUUAUUAUUGUUACUUUUGGGAGUGUGUAUAUAUGUGUUCCAUUUUUAGAGGUAGCUUUAUUUAGUGAACGCUAAUGAUAUCAAUAUUGGGAUGUUGGUGGACUUAAUUUGUUAUUGUCGUGGUUGUGCAACUGGAAGUUCUACUGAAUAUUUUGACCUAUUUGCACAGAACUUCUAGUUAUUAAUAAUGACAUGAUAAUGUAUCUGAUCUUUAAUUUUUAAAAUGUUUUCUUGUUUCCAUUUUAUAAAAAGACUUAACAUUCUUUUUGGCUUUGGAAUUAACAUUUUUGUUAAAUGCAUUUGGAAAACAUGUUUUUUAGUGAGCAAUGGUAUGAUUUUAACAUCAUGAUGACAAUAAUGUUCAUAGAAGGUUUAUACUUGACGUGCUUUUCAAGAAUGAAAUGUAUGUAACCAGCAAAAUUUGGGUGAAAACUAGAUACUUAAAUAAUAAAAGAAGCAUUGUAAUUAACCUAGUCUAACACCUCCACUCUUUUAUGCUGUUACAUUAUUCAGUUAUUAAUUUAUUUGCUGUAUUUUACAUUGAAUGUGAAUUAGGUGUAUUACUGUGCUAUAGUUGUCUUGCUUGUAUAGUUCCAAUUGAAGUUUCUGAGCAUUCUGUUUCUCCAUGAAUGAUUUCAUUGCAGAUUGGCUUGAUUAACUUGGAAAAUGAGGACUUUGGGAAGCAACUAGUGGAGAAAACUAAAACCAUGUUUCAAGUAAGCUAUUAAGCCACUGAAACUUCUAGGUUGGUUUAUGGGUGUUGUAUUUUCAUUGUCUUUAUUCCUUUAAUUAGCUGAAUGUUCAGUUAAGGGUAUUAGUACUAUUUUCAUUUAACUAAGCUGUCUAUAAUUAAUUGAGUAUUGAUUAGGAAUUCUAAAAUCUAAUGGUGUAAAUUAGAAUGUGAAAGUUUAUGUAAUUAGUUUUCACAGCAAUGUUGACUGCUUGCUAUAUAUAAUUAUUAUCAGGUAUUUGGAUCUGAAACUAGGAACUUUUUCCUAUAGAAAUUCAAAUUGAGUUUCAUGUAUGUGGAUGCUUGAUUAGAAAAAAAGAAGCGAAACUAUUAUUUUAGAUGGAAGCAUCAUUAUCUCUGUUAAAUCUUGCAUUAUCAAAGCUGGCCAUUUUGGAAUGACAUGGAAAGUUUAAUGCUUCUUUCCAUAGAAUUAUCUAGGUUUAGGAAUGGAUGGCCUUGUUCCUAACCAAUGAACUUGUGAUUUUUUGGAAUGUAUACUUUGGCCAUGUUUGAUAUAAAAUAGUUUAAUCCCUCCAAAAAGACUAUCAAAAUAGUUUGAUAUUGAGGUUCAAAAUAUUGGAAUGUUAGUAAGAAAAAAAAGUUAUUGGUAUUAGACCAAGGUCACAAGUUCAAUUUCCAACAAGACAAUUGUCGAAGAAGAGAUUGUUGUGGAUUGCAUCAAAUGUCACAUAGUGGAGACUAGAUAUGCCAAGGCUUCGAUGGGGGCAUUGUUAUAAGCUACAUCAAUUGUCCUAUAGUAAAGGUCAAGUGAAUUAAGUCACAAUUGAAUCAUGGUGCUUGAGUUCUUAUGCUUUUAAAUAUCAAGAGUUGCAUCUUGAUUAUAAACUAUAACUUUUAACCUAGUUAUAUGUCCUCGAUCCAACAACAAUAAAGUAGGUUCCCAACUCCAUCAAGCUUUAACUUUCAAAAUAGAACUGGAAGAGUACUUACUGAUAAUAAAAAACGUACAAAUAUGAGGAUUGAACUGGAAAAAGAAUAAAUAAAAAAGGAGUUAAUUUUUGGUUGAAAAUACUAGUUUCUUUAUAUUUGUUGGUGUCGAUUAUUAAAAUUUUCUAUCUUCUUUCUAUAAAUGUGUUCAUUAUAGUUUUUUUUGUUUUGAUUCUUUUUUUCUUUAGUGUGUCUUUCAACUGGCUUUGGCUUCUAGACCACUUGUCGUAAAACUGGUGCUUUUUUCGCCUGCUUCCACUAACUGAUAAAUGAAAACAGUUUUGUGAAUAAUAUUUUCAUCUUGAAUUUUUCUUAUGAUAAUUGCUUACAUUAAAGUGCAUAUAACAUAAGAAACCAUCGGUUUAACCUUCACCAUAGUGGGAUGAAUGACAUGGCCAUUUUGUGUCUGUUGCAAUCAUUUAAACCAGAUUGAAAUAUUAAAUUUUUGGUUAAACAUCUUUCUGCUUGAUUUUUAUAAACAAAAAAUUGACAAUUAUUUUUAUUGGGUAAGGCUUGUUUGAUUUAAUGCAAGGUAUGGUUCUUACCAACGGUUUUUCAGUACACAUUCAUUUUCAAUUUGUUUUGUUCACCCAAAAUAAUGCCAUUAUAUACUUCUCUAAUCUGCUGCAAUGUUUUUGAAUCUAAGAACUUAUUGAAUUGAUCUUUUAGUGCUUCUGUCCUGACUCCCUUUAAUUUAUUCCCUAUAAUAUUGCUUUUGUGCAUUUCUCAUUUAUUAUAUUUUUAAUUCAGGAUGCCUUGGAUACUGGAAACUGCAAUGGGGUUCGAGUUCUAAUGCGGCUUUUGACUGUUAUGGUAUGUAUUGGCACUGUUUUUAUGCAUAAAAAUUGUGUAGCAUUAUUGACAUUCAACUCUCAGACUGAAAUAUUGUUAUUAUUGGAAUUUUGAGGAAGAUAAGAAAUCCUUCUAGUUUUCACUUAUUCUACAUUUAUGAGUAAUUUGUGUUUGAGCAUGUCUUGUUUUUUUGCCUAAAAUAUUGUAUAGUUAGCUUGUAAUUGUUGAAUAUAGUAAAACUAUGUAUGAGAUUAAUCUCUCUUAUGUUGAAUAUACACAUAAGGUAUUCUAUUUAUAAUAAAAGAAAAAUGAACUAAGUCCAAAAUACAAAUAAGAAA
rnacentral:lncRNA from 1 species